UUAACUCAAAUUUCUAUGCAACUGGAACAGCGCCUCUAGCGGCAAACGUAAGCAAACGUUCCAACUCCAUACAAAUUUGAGUUA
rnacentral:pre_miRNA from 1 species